rnacentral:rRNA from 1 species
AUCCUCCAAGGCUAAAUACUCCUGAUUGACCGAUAGUGAACCAGUACCGUGAGGGAAAGGCGAAAAGAACCCCGGCGAGGGGAGUGAAAUAGAACCUGAAACCGUGUACGUACAAGCAGUGGGAGCCCCAUCACUCAAGUGCCUCGGCAAUUGAGUGACGGUGUAAAACCAUCACAAUAACAGCGCAGGAUUUGCCAACAAGAUUGGCUGAUUUUUUCAAGCCGCAGCGCAGUGGACAUCGAAGUCCAUGAGCAGCGGAAGUUAAAAAAUCGGGCAAGAUUGGCCGCAAAGCCAAGCGGGACAUUUGAGGAUGGGGUGACUGCGUACCUUUUGUAUAAUGGGUCAGCGACUUAUAUUCUGUAGCAAGGUUAACCGAAUAGGGGAGCCGUAGGGAAACCGAGUCUUAACUGGGCGAAUGAGUUGCAGGGUAUAGACCCGAAACCCGGUGAUCUAGCCAUGGGCAGGUUGAAGGUUGGGUAACACUAACUGGAGGACCGAACCGACUAAUGUUGAAAAAUUAGCGGAUGACUUGUGGCUGGGGGUGA